AAAAUCUGCUGCCUGAGCGGCCGCCGCCGGACCUGUCCGCACCUGUCACCAGCCGGCGACACCAGCCCACCGCUCCCGCCCAGCUCUCCGCCAGCCUCGGGCCCCCGCGGGCCCCGCGACCCCGUUCCCUACCAGGUGUCCCCUUUCCGGAGCGAGGUUUUGAGCAGCGUCGCGAUGUCAGAACGCUGGGUGUCCAGGUCCGCCGCUCCGCCUUCCGCCAUCUUCUUCCACUAGCCGUAGCGGAGGCGGCGGCGACGGCGGCGGCACGCCCCGGAGCAUUGUGGGAAUGGCGUCCCCGGCCCCGCCCCGCCGGCAGAUGAGUUGAGUGUGUGCCUGUGACAGCCUACUGUGGAGAUCACAAGUCAACGUUGCAGGCGUCAGCUCUCUCUACUAUGAGGGUCUCAGGGGAUCAGACUUGGAAAGGAUCCCAUGCGUCCCAGGUUGUCAGUGCAACAGAAGAUGACUUUGAACUUAUCUGAUCUGUCUGCUUCCGCCUCCCCAGUUCUGGGAUGUUUCUGCAGCACUGGGCAUCAAGCCCAGGGUUUCGUGCUUGCUAUGUAAGCACUCUUCUGCCUGAGUCCUAUCUCUAGACCCCAUUAAGGAUUUUUUUUUCUAAAAAAAAAAAAAUGAAGAUUAAAUGAAACAAUAUGAGUUUGUUGCCUGGAACUUAAUAGCCAAUCAACAAAUGUUAGUAGGAAGAAUUGGACUGAUAUCAGGAUAAAUUGUAUAGUAUGUGUGUUAUAUCUCAAUAAAGCUAUUCUUAACAAAGCA
rnacentral:lncRNA from 1 species